UAAACAAAAGGUUUGGUCCUAGCCUUAUUGUUAAUUUUAUUUAGACCUACACAUGCAAGUUUCCGCUACCCUAUGAGAAUGCCCUCAAAACUAUUAAACCAAAAGAUAAGAGGAGCUGGUAUCAGGCACACUAACAGUAGCCAAUUACACCUUGCUCAACCACACCCCCAUGGGAAACAGCAGUGAUUAGAAUUAAGCUAUAAAUGAAAGUUUGACUAAAUCAUAAUUAUCUUUAAGGGUUGGUAAAUUUCAUGCCAGCCACCGCGGUCAUACAAUUAACCCAAAUUAACAAACUUCCGGCGUAAAGUGUAUUCAAACAAAACAUUAAAAUAAAGUUAAUACUUAACUAAGUUGUAAUAUACUCUAGUUAAUACUAAAAUAAGUUAUUAAAAUAACUUUAAUAAAGCUGAUACAUGACAACUAAGACACAAACUAGGAUUAGAUACCCCACUAUGCUUAGUCGUAAACUAAAAUAGUUAAAUAACAAAACUACUCGCCAGAGAACUACUAGCUACUGCUUAAAACUCAAAGGACUUGGCUGUGCCCUAAACCCACCUAGAGGAGCCUGUUCUAUAAUCGAUAAACCCUGAUAUACCCAACCCUAUCUUGCCAAUACAGCCUAUAUACCGCCAUCGUCAGCCCACCUUAAAAAAGAUAUAAAGUAAACAAAAUUAUCUUCCAUAAAAACGUUAGGUCAAGGUGUAGCCUAUGAUAGGGAAAGAAAUGGGCUACAUUAUCUAACUUAGAUAAUAAUGAAUCACACUAUGAAAUUAAAUGUGCCUGAAGGAGGAUUUAGUAGUAAAUUAAGAAUAGAGUGCUUAAUUGAAUUAGGCAAUAGGGCACGCACACACCGCCCGUCACCCUCCUCAACUCAAUUUAUAAAAUUACCUAAUAAUUUAUCUAAAUAAAGAGGAGAAAAGUCGUAAUAGAUGGACUUCAUAGUCCAUCUUGGCAAGAAGCCAA
rnacentral:ncRNA from 1 species